rnacentral:lncRNA from 1 species
UGCUGAAUUAGAAAAAGAACUACAAAUGUUAAAAGAUCUGUAUGAACAAAGACAAAAGGAAAAAGAAGAGAAAGAUAGAGAACAAAAAUUACUGAACGAGAUAAAUCAAUUUAAGGAAAAAUUGGAAAUAAGAAACAAAGAAUUAGAAAUAAAUAAUAUAGAUAUUGAAGAGACAGAUAAUUAUGAUUUAGAAGAUAGUGAAACAUAUACAGAAAUAUUAACAAAUACAAAAAAUUUAGAAAUCAAUGAAAAACAAGAAGUAAUUAAUGAAGGAAACUUGGAAAGUACCAAAACAGAAAUAAAUACUCUUGAUAAAAAAGAAGACGAAAUACCUAAAACAACAUAAAUAAGAAAACCUAUAUAUUAUAAGAGCAAGUUUAAAAAAUAUAAUGAAUAUGACAAAUGGACACCAAAACAAAUAGUUAAUAAAAAUUAUAACUUUUUAGACCUAGACUGCGUAAUAGAUACAGAAAAAAUAAUACAAUUAUGGAUAGGAUAUAUG